AAGAAGGGGAAACUAUAAAGGCCUAUUCGGCCAUGGAGGAAAAAUAUGGGGUUUCCAAAUUUGAUCCCAAAAAUUAUUUUCUUCAUGUAUUCCUACUAAUUCAAGGAUGCUCUCCAACAUGGUUUGAUUGUUGAAGCAAGAGAAUUACUCUUUGGUGAAAAACUCCAAUUUUAGCUAAGUUGAGAAGUUGUGAAGGAAAGAUUUUGGCAGAUUUGCAGCUUGAAUUUGGAGUCGCAUAUGAGGCGGAAAAGGUACUCCCAGAUGAUUAGAAGACCUUACUGAAGGUGUUCCAGCGGAGAUGGCGAACUCCACUUGUCCCGGAGGAUUGCCAAGUCCAAGUAUAUGCUAUGAUGUUCUGUUCUAUGUUAGAGACUUUGCAGACAGAGUCAUGGGUAUAGAGUGUCAGCAUUGGUAGACGGCUUCACCAGCCGAUAUGUUAUUAUGUUUUAUGUCACGAGUCUUAUAUGGUGUCAGAUUUUACUUAUGAAAAAAAAAAUUGAGAACUUACUAUGUAAUUAUUCCUUAACUGAUACAAGAGUUUGUCUAUGUAAUAAGAGUCAGCGGGUUCGCUCGACUCCAGAUAUGGGGUCGGGUGCCCAUCACACCCUAGUAAAGUCGGGGUGUGACAAAUACCACUCUCACAAUGGGAGGUGUAUUACACUCGCGCCACGUCAUUGCCACGUCAAUGCCACAUCAUUGCCACGUCGUUGCCACAUCAUUGCCAUGUCAAAAUUACCAACACUUCAUUUUUUGUUUUUCUUUUAUUAUUUUUUCUCUUUCUCUUUCUUCUUCUUUCUCCUCAUCCUCACCCUACUUUUAACAACCACUACG